UACGGAGGAUGCAAGCGUUAUCCGAAAUGAUUGGGCGUAAAGCGUCCGCAGGUGGCUAUGUAAGUCUGCUGUUAAAGAAUGAGGCUCAACCUCAUAAGAGCAGUGGAAACUACAUAGCUAGAGUGCGUUCGGGGCAGAGGGAAUUCCUGGUGUAGCGGUGAAAUGCGUAGAUAUCAGGAAGAACACCGGUGGCGAAAGCGCUCUGCUAGGCCGCAACUGACACUGAGGGACGAAAGCUAGGGGAGCGAAUGGG
rnacentral:rRNA from 1 species